GGGUAACUAACGAGCAGAGAUGCAUUAGGUGCUCGAAAGAGAAAGUGGACACAGGUGCUGCAUGGCUGUCGUCAGCUCGUGUCGUGAGAUGUUGGGUUAAGUCCCGCAACGAGCGCAACCCUUGCCAUUAAUUGCCAUCAUUUAGUUGGGCACUUUAAUGGGACUGCCGGUGACAAACCGGAGGAAGGUGGGGAUGACGUCAAGUCCUCAUGGCCCUUAUGGCCAGGGCUUCACACGUAAUACAAUGGUCGGUACAGAGAGUUGCCAACCCGCGAGGGGGAGCUAAUCUCAGAAAGCCGAUCGUAGUCCGGAUUGUUCUCUGCAACUCGAGAGCAUGAAGUCGGA
rnacentral:rRNA from 1 species